GUUAAACCUCCAUCAAACAGACACACGGCGCACAAAAGAAAACCUCAUCACCAAGGGAAACUAAUCCGCCUGUGCGCAAUGUAAGCCUGUCAACUUUUUAUUAUAAGAAGUCAUCAGUCAUUUCAGUGAAGAUUAAAAGUAUGACUAAAUUGAGGAAAUCCUCUUAGCCAUUUGGAAUUUUAAUAGAGGAGCAAAGGGGAAAUAAGGCUGCAGGAGACACACAUUUGGUUACUCAUUUCCAGCAGGCACCCUCCACGGGGUCACAGGAAAACAAUCAGGAAAUGCGUUCAGGAACAUUGAUAAUGGUUCUUCUUUGAAGAUCUGGAAAAUUUCAGCAGUAAAUGUAUCUGGGCCUAGAGCUUUUAGGUACCUCCUUGAACGCUUCACGAUUUUUAUUACUACACAUCUUUGGAAAGUGGUGAACUCUAAGAAACAGUGUCCAAUCAACCACACUGAAUUGGAAGUCCCAAGUAAUAACUUAGUAAUUAGAAAAAUCAAUAUUGUUAAGGCGAGGCUGAGACAAAGCCUUUAUGAAGAGGAAAACCUCAGAGACUUAUAAACUAUUUCUCUUCACAGAACUAUAUCACACAUCUGUAAGCCUAGAUCAUAACUUCACUGUUCCAUUGUACUUAUUUAAAUAGAACCAAGCCUCCACAUUACAGAUUAAAUUUUCUGAGAGGUGACAAAAGAAUGAAGCAGUCCUCUGUGGAAUGAAUGUUUUUAAUCUCCUUAAAAACUGCUCAUUUUCUCAUUAAAGAAAAAAACAUAGCCCAAACC
ensembl:antisense B230110G15Rik uncharacterized LOC110316303